rnacentral:ribozyme from 1 species
AGAAAUACCUAGCUGAUACGGGGGUAAAGCCGAAACCUCUAGAAGGUUAACAUAGGCUCUCCAGCUCCUACUCCUACUCAAUACGUACCCGUCAUACAGCACGGUAACAUGUCUCUCAAUUAUCCAAGCUUACGGGUUGCUUGAGUAUACGGGAAACCAAACCCCUUGCGCGGAUGGGUUGUAUGGCUAAAUUGAGAGGG